rnacentral:rRNA from 1 species
ACGUUGGCGGCGUGGAUUAGGCAUGCAAGUCGAGCGAGAAGGUUCCUUCGGGAACUGGACAGCGGCGAAAGGGAGAGUAACGCGUAGAUAUCUGCCUCGAGGCCCGGGAUAGCGGCGGGAAACUGCCGGUAAUACCGGAUAACAUCUCCGGAUCAAAGGUGUGAUUCCGCCUCGAGAUGAGUCUGCGUCCUAUUAAUGCUUGUUGGUGUGGUAACGGCGCACCAAGGCGAAGAUGGGUACCGGGUGUGAGAGCAUGGCCCGGCUCACUGGGACUGAGACACUGCCCAGACACCUACGGGUGGCUGCAGUCGAGAAUCUUCGGCAAUGGGCGAAAGCCUGACCGAGCGACGCCGCGUGCGGGAUGAAGGCCCUCGGGUUGUAAACCGCUGUCAGUAGGGAGCAAAUCUCUUGGGGUUAUCCCCUUGAGUUGAGCGAUCUUCAGAGGAAGUACGGGCUAAGUUCGUGCCAGCAGCCGCGGUAAGACGAACCGUACGAACGUUAUUCGGAAUCACUGGGCUUAAAGAGUCCGUAGGCGGCCGUGUAGGUGGGAUGUGAAAGCCCUCGUCUCAACCGAGGAAUUGCGUUCCAAACCACAUGGCUUGAGGAGGAUAGAGGUGAGCGGAACUGAUGGUGGAGCGGUGAAAUGCGUUGAUAUCAUCAGGAACACCAGAGGCGAAGGCGGCUCACUGGGUCCUUUCUGACGCUGAGGGACGAAAGCUAGGGGAGCAAACGGGAUUAGAUACCCCGGUAGUCCUAGCUGUAAACGAUGAGCACUAGAUCGAGGGGACUUCCACAUCUUCUCGGUCGUAGCGAAAGUGUUAAGUGCUCCGCCUGGGGAGUAUGUCGCAAG